AGCGUAGACGGUGUGGCAAGUCUGAUGUGAAAGGCAUGGGCUCAACCUGUGGACUGCAUUGGAAACUGUCAUACUUGAGUGCUGGAGGGGUAAGCGGAAUUCCUAGUGUAGCGGUGAAAUGCGUAGAUAUUAGGAGGAACACCAGUGGCGAAGGCGGCUUACUGGACGGUAACUGACGUUGAGGCUCGAAAGCUGGGAGCAAACA
rnacentral:rRNA from 1 species